rnacentral:rRNA from 1 species
AAGGCCGUAUACGUUGGGCACUCGGUGUGGGGGACAUUCCACGUUUUCCGCGCCGUAGCUAACGCAUUAAGUGCCCCGCCUGGGGAGUACGGCCGCAAGGCUAAAACUCAAAGGAAUUGACGGGGGCCCGCACAAGCGGCGGAGCAUGCGGAUUAAUUCGAUGCAACGCGAAGAACCUUACCAAGGCUUGACAUGGGCCGGACCGGGCUGGAAACAGUCCUUCCCCUUUGGGGCCGGUUCACAGGUGGUGCAUGGUUGUCGUCAGCUCGUGUCGUGAGAUGUUGGGUUAAGUCCCGCAACGAGCGCAACCCUCGUUCCAUGUUGCCAGCGCGUAAUGGCGGGGACUCAUGGGAGACUGCCGGGGUCAACUCGGAGGAAGGAG